rnacentral:rRNA from 1 species
AGAAAUGGCUACCACAUCCAAGGAAGGCAGCAGGCGCACAAAUUACCCAAUCCUGACAUGGGGAGGUAGUGACAAUAAAUAACAAUACUGGGCUCAUCGAGCCUGGUAAUUGGAAUGAGUACAACCUAAAUCCCUUAACGAGGAUCCAUUAGAGGGCAAGUCUGGUGCCAGUAGCCACAGUAAUUCCAGCUCCAAUAGUGUAUAUUUAAGUUGCUGUAGUUAAAAAGCUCGUAGUUGGAUCUUGGGUCGUAAAGGUCGGUCCACCUACUCGGUGUGCACCUGCCCUUCCAUCCCUUUUGUCGGCGGUGUGCUCCUGACCUUAAUUGGUUGGGUAACGGCUCCGGCGCUGUUACUUUGAAAAAAUUAGAGUGCUCAAAGCAAGCUUAUGCUCUGAAUACAUUAGCAUGGAAUAACAUGAUAGGAGUCUGGUCCUAUUGUGUUGGCCUUCGGGACUGGAGUAAUGAUUAAUAGGGACUGACGGGGGCAUUCAUAUUUCAUUGUCAAAGGUGAAAUUCUUGGAUUUAUGAAAGACAAACCACUGUGAAAGCAUUUGCCAAGGAUGUUUUCAUUAAUCAAGAAUGAAAGUUGGGGGCUCGAAGACGAUCAGAUACCGUCCUAGUCUCAACCAUAAACGAUGCCGACCAGGGAUCGGCAGAUGUUUCUCUAAGGACUCCGCCAGCAACUUCUGAGUAAUUAGAGUGUUUGGGUUUUGGGGGGAGUAUGGUCGCAAGGCUGAAACUUAAAGGAAUUGAUGGAAGGGAACCACCAAGAGUGGAGCUUGCAGCUUAAUUUGACUCAACACAGGGAAACUUACCAAGUCCAGACAUAGUAAGGAUUGACAGAUUGAGAGCUCUUUCUUGAUUCUAUGGGUGGUGGUGCAUGGCCGCUCUUAGUUUGUGGAGCGAUUUGUCUGGUUAAUUCUGAUAACAAAUGAGACCUCAGCCUGCUAACUAGCUACACGGAGGUUCCCCUUCGCGACCAGCUUCUUAGAGGGACUAUGGCCAUUUAGGCCAUGGAAGUUUGAGGCAAUAAUAGGUUUGUGAUGCCCUUAGAUGUUUUGGGCCACACACGCGCUACACUAAUGCAACAAACAAUCUUUUCUUCCUGGUUCGAGAGGAUCGGGAAAUCUUCUCAAAUUGCAUCAUGAUGGGGAUAGACCAUUGCAAUUAUUGGUCUUCAACGAGGAAUUCCUAGUAAGCGUGUGUCAUCAACUCGUGUUCACUACGUCCCUGCCCUUUAUACACACCGCUCGUCGCUCCUACUGAUUGAAUGAUCCAGUGAGGUGUUCGGAUUGCGUCGACGAUGGUGGUUCGCCGCCAUCGACGUCAUGAGAAGUUCAUUGAACCUUAUCAUUUAGAGGAAGGAGAAGUCGUAAUAAGGUUACCGUAGGUGAACUUGCGGAAG